AUAACAGGCUAGUCGUGCCCAAGCGUCCAUAGCGACGGCACGGUUCGGCACCUCGAUGUCGGCUCGACUUAUCCUGGGGCUGGAGCAGGUCCCAAGGGUUUGGCUGUUCGCCAAUUAAAAAGUCACGUGAGCUGGGUUUAGACCGUCGUGAGACAGGUUGGUCUCCUAUCUACUGCAGGCGUCGAUUCUUGAGGAGAGUUGUUCCUAGUACGAGAGGACCGGAAUGAACGAACCUCUGGUCUAUCUGCUGUCACGCCAGUGGCAUUGCAGAGUAGCUAUGUUCGGAAUGGAUAACCGCUGAAAGCAUCUAAGCGGGAAGCCAACUCCAAGAUUAGGAAUCAUUAAGUCCCCUGAGAGAUGAUCAGGUUGAUAGGCACUAAGUGGAAGUACAGUAAUGUAUGGAGCUGAGGUGUACUAAUAGGGCGUAAUUCCUGUAAGG
rnacentral:rRNA from 1 species